GGGUCUCACUCUGUGAUCAAAAGGAUAAUGCCAUCAUGGAAAGGCAGGAUGAAUACCAGUGAAGAAUAAAAAAAAAAUGUUUUCCAGCUACAAAUUGACAAAGUAUCAGAAGGCUCUUCCCAGUUCCAGCAAUUGUUAUGAUCAACUGCAGGAUUUGUGCUGUGUGACUACAAGAUGUGUAAUAUCAAAAUGAACCAGGGGAAAACAAAGGUAUUUGCAAUUUUCCAUAUGACUACUGGAGUGUCUUAGGUCCUGAGUGCUGCGGUGUGUGUUAAAUGUAAUUCACAGUUAAUGCCCUACUGCUUUGGAAUUUUAAGAAUCUGCAGCAUACAGAAGUUUCAUGCCAAAAGUAAGAAAGCCUGGAAACCAAAUAUAAAAGGUACUACUCUAUUUUGUAAACCCACCUCUUAGUAAAUGCCAAAAGUUCCUCUCCUCCAAAGAGAACUUGGUGACAUGAUGGAGUUCAAGAGAUAAUAUUUGUAGCAUAUGGCAAAGGUGGAUGUGCUACUGCUUGUUGGAAUGCCUCUGAAUUAAUUCAAUUAUUUCAGAAUCCAAAGUGACUGCCUCAUCGUCCUAUUUCUUAAGGACCACAUCUGGGGCUGGGUGACUGACAAUCAGAACUAAAACACAAUGGUAACAGGAACAAUAGAUCAACAACAGUUGGUCUAAUAUAGUCAUCAAAGACAUGCUAGACCAAUUCAGUUAUAUUAAAAUCUAUGGCUUUGGCUCUGAACCAGUCACAUUUAAUAAGAACUUUGGGUUUAUUCCCACUGACACUGGACGCAGAGCAGACUGAAUUGGUAUAAAUAACUCCAGUCAUUUGAACCCUGACCUUCCAGAGAAUUCAGACCAACAAAAUUAAACUUGUACCUUCCCUCACCAACCCUGAACUACUAGCACCUACUCAGCAAGAGUAGAAUUUGGCAUAGUAAGAAAAGUUCCAGCACAAAGCCAGCCAGAUGGAAAUUGGAUUUAAUACUUUAUACUCUCAGCAGGCCACUGAAAUGAUCUUGUCAUUAAGUUCCUCCAAUCCCAUGUGUAAUUUUAAACAAGCAUUAAACAAAUGCAUUCUUUGAGAGCAAUGGCCACCUGGCUGGACUGGGUUCAGAUCUUUCAGUGAAUAGUCGGGGGCGGGGAGGGGGACUGUUGAAGAUCAUUUUGUUUCUCAACCUCUUCUUCCCAGGUCCCUGAGCUCCUGCUAAUGGAAUUAAGCCUGCACUCUGCAGCACUUCCACAUUUACCACCAGUAAGAGACUGUUCUGUCAAGGCAAGGGCUCGCAAACACAAAUGAAUGUCAUGAUUUAUGGGUCCAGUAAAAAAAUAAAAAGAUAACCUGAUGGUAGACUAAAUUUCUCAUUUUCAAUUGCAAAAGAAAAUGUGAAAUCUGAACAAGAUGCAAAGAAAAUAAAAGACAACCUUUCACAGGAACGGCCUCUCAACAUUUCCUCAUCUUUGUGAUAAAGCAAUAAACACAGGUGUAUUGUACUAACUAUAACGAUGCAAACCUGAAAGGGAAUGUUUUCUCUUGAGAUGGAACAAAGACACUCUAAGGAUCAACAAGAAGCAUUACUCCUAAUGAGGAUUAGUUGAGAGGAGUGAAUCAACAGCACAAGAUUAGGAAUGUUUGACAUGGUUUAUCUGAGUGUUAAAGGUGCAGUCCCCUUUUCUUAAGGUUUAAACCAAUAGCCAAAGCAUUCUGUUGUUUACUUCAUAAGACUUCUCUUACUUACCAAGAAAUGUUUAUAUCUGAUAUUUCAAUGGCAAAUUUUGGAGUCAACAAGGUACUCCAAAGAACAGAUAUUCUUUAUAUAAGCAUUGUUUGAAUACAUAACUAUAAUAGCCUACCAAAUAGCAUGCAUCAAGGAAAAGGAAUUCCAUAAAUUACAGUGAUACUGCUGUUCUUAUAACAUCCUCCUACCAUUCUUUGUGUUCUUACCAUCCAUGGUGCUCUUAUUAGCUAAAAGUCCUAUCUUGAUUUAAUAAGGGGCUUCCUGAUAAUAAGCACUUGUAUUAAAAGGCAUUUUUAAUGCAAUAUCAGUGAGGGAAGGAAUGAUUAGAUGGGAUACAUUUAACAUUUGGCACAUCAAACAUUUUAGACCUUUUUGGGAUAAAACUCAUAGAAUAUUACACAGAAUUUUGCUUUUUUUAUUGUUGUUGUUUUCUUUCUUUCUGUCUGUCUCUCUCUAGUAAACUUUUUAGACCAUUUAUGAUUGAUCUCUGAAGCUGAAAAUGGAGGGUUUACUACACCUUUGACUUCCAGGCUCGUGUGUUUAUGAACAACAAAGGGUAAGGUAUGGAAAUAGAUAUCAAGACGGGGCAAGAGGAGACAGAGAGACAGAGGAGACAGGAAACAGCUAGUUUCCCAGCACAGACACCAAUAGACAGGUAGCAUUGACACUGUACCUAGAGAGGCUGCCCUCGGCGGCCAGGCCCUGGGAGUCAUCGAGGACAUUAGGUUCACUGCAGGAGGGGUAGGGAGAUGAAGCAUUUAGGGAAAGAAAAUGAUAAAAGGAAAGAAAAAAAGAAAAAAAGGCAUGCGAUAUUCUGCUUCCAAGAACCAAAAAUAAAUAAAUUUAACAGAACAAGGAAGGAAAAGGAGACAGUCAACCAUUUCACCUUGUGCUGGGUUUGUCGCGACAUAGGACUCAAGGCAAUGGGGGAGGAAGGACUUUGAAUGAACAACUCUCAGAGGAGUGAUCUAUUUACUGGUCGAAAGUUAAAAUGAGCUCUAACUGGACACACGUGAGCUCUGAAUCACAUUGCAGAAUGAAUCUGUACAGGAUGAAGCUGUCAUUCCUUUGGUAAUCAUAUAAGUAGGUGGUUAUUAUUUUUAACUUAUCUUAUGUACAUGGUGUUUCAGUGAUCAAGAUCCUGCUUCUUAUGCAUUCUUACAUUAUCACACAGAAACCACUUACCAUGAACCACCACAGUCAAACUCUUGGAACUGAUGCCAUUAAGAAAAAAAAGAAAGAACCAAACUUUUCCCGCUGAGUUUGCAAUAAAAAUGCAAGUAAAUGAGUGGAGGGAAGAUAUCAUGGGGAAUUCAUAUGGAACUCACAUUUACCUCCUUACUUUCCAUCCUCUAGUGACAGACUUAUAGAUACCAAAACAAGAAACCUGUCAGUCUGGUAAGAGAAUAAUUACAUCAUUUCUUGAUUUAUUUAGAGGUAGCUAAUCUGAGAUUUGUAAACAGAAACUGUCCUACUUUACUGUCUUUCCUUUGGUGCCUAGCCUUGAGCUAAGUGCACACAAGGCACUCAAUACAGAGCUGUUAAAUUAAAUGGAAAUAAACCAUUUUGAAAACUGGAAUGCCUGUCCCCAAAGAAUUGAGAUUACCUAAAUGCACACUGUAAGAAGGGCCUCUGUCCCCAGGAAGGAGUUCACUGUCUCUAAUAUAUAGAGGUAGUAUUAGCUUCACAAGUCUUCCAAAAACAAUGGCUGAAGCCCAGAGGGUUAAACUAUAUUUUUUCUGCAUUUCUAGCAAGUUAAUAACAGGACAGAUUUUCUCCUUGAAAAUGAAUUAAGUCCUUAAUGGAUAUUUAGAAAGAAAAUUGAUAGCCCAUUUAUUUUAGGUAAGUAACAAAACAACAAAAAAAAACCCUCAUUUAAAAUCCCUCCUAUUCUAUAAUUUUAAAAACAUUUAAAUAAAUUGGUAACUUUAUUCUUGUCAGACUCUUGCACAUUGCUAGUAACUGAAAAUAAAUUGAUAGCCACAAUGUGAACUGCUUUUAUGACUACAUCUUCUUUGGACAUGUUAUUUUUUUGGCUCUGAGUUUGUUUACACAUUUAAUUUUUUUCAAAGGGAAAUUACCAAAUGAUAGGUACAAUAAUCUGUUAGAAUGGCAGGUAUUUUUAUAAAUUAUUAAUAUUUGUAAUAAUGAAAUAGUACUUAACAUAAAAUAUUGUAUUUUUAAAAAGUAUCAAAUUUACUUAAGAAUCAUCUCCUAUCAUGCUCUCCUAAACUUUAAUAUUCUCCAAAUUCAGGUUUGAUUUCACAAAUUUCAUUUCAUCUAUGUAGUUCCUGAACUGUUUGCUAAAGCUUUUUUGGGGGUAUAGGAUAAUUAUUCAUGCAUAUAAAUUUGUUUUAUCUGAACAUUACAAUGUGCCUUGGCUUUUAUCAUUUUCUAUAUAUGCAUUAUACUACUAUGAAUCUAUGGUGUUAAAAAUAAGCAGCAAAGUAACUAAAAUCACAUAAAGUCGAGUGUUUGAAAAAAUCCAGUUCCUGAGGUGAAAAUAUCAUUGGUUCUUAAAUAAUAUUUAGACUUACGUCAGAUCAUUUUCUAUGUUAUAUUUUAAUUGUAAAUAUAGCGUAUAAGGGUUUUUUUUAACUUAAAUUCAUAGAAGGCAGUGAACACAUAAAGAAAAUGUUAAAAAUAGUUUAGUCAUGAAAUCAUAGAACUGUAGAUGGAGGUGAUCUUAAAAAUUCACUUUAGCCAGCCUCCAAAACUCACAAUAGCCAAUUGUGGGCUAUUGUUAAAUGACCUUCUCAAUGUCAUGCAUAGUGGCACAGUUCUUUCUCUUCUUGGUUAAGCAUCACCACCUGCAACUGCAUACUGAUGGCAUGUCAGAAGCCUAAACUUUAACGAAGGCAUCAAACUGGUCCUAUAUACUUGCUAAGUACUCUUCAUUAUUAGCUCAGUAAUAACAAAACUGAAAUACAAGAAUGCCAUUUGACAACCAAAGAGAAGACCACUUAUCUAUCUAUGGAAAAUG